UACCGACCGUCGACCGCGGCCUCCAGCCGCCCCGUCCCCGGUCCUGACGCCACUUCCCCGGCGCCAGGGCCGGGGGCGCGAGCGGAUGGGGACCGCGACCGACGGUCGGCUCGCG
rnacentral:ncRNA from 1 species